rnacentral:lncRNA from 1 species
UUUUUAAUCACUGAAUGGUUUCUUUAGUAGAUACAUUUAUAAAUAAAUAAGUGAACAAACAACAAAAGGCACAUGUGAAAGAUGGAUUAGCAUACAUGAAUAUACAGCUUCCAUAAGAAAUGGAAAUGACAAUCAUGUGAGAGGAACAAGUGGAGAAAGCCUUUUUUCUUUGACUGGCAGAUGGGAUUCUUAAAAUGGUCCUGAUAAUGUACAUAUCCCUGGGAGA